AAAAAAAAGGGGGGGGGGGGCUUGUGCUGUGUACACAUGUGGAGGUCAUUUUAGGUGUCAGUUCUUGCCGUCCCUCCUGUUUGAGAUAGGGUCUCUUAUCUUGUGUGUGCCUGCCUAGUUGCCUGGCCAUCCAUGGCAGGAACACUGGGAUUGAACCCAUUAUGGCUUCUACUUUUACAUUAGUUGUUGGGAUUCAGACUCAAGAUCUCAUCCAUGUGAGGUGAGUGCUGUGCCCACUGAGCCAUCUCUCUCGCUUGGAAAAUCUUAAAAGGGGAAAAAGACACACUAUCCAGAGGAACCCGGAUAAUCUCAGAUGAUAGAGACACUCCCCUUUAAACACUGAAAUGGGAAACUCACAGCACUGCAAGUGAACACUUGAUGCUAUCAGCAUAAAAACACAACCCUCAGGGUUGCAGCAACGGCUCGGUAGUUAAGGGCACUGGCUGCUACUGCAGGGGACCUACAUUCAGUUCUCAGCAGCCACAUGGUAUCUUAUCACCAUGAAACUCCUGUUCCAGGAGACCUGAUGCCAUCUUCUGGCCCCCCCAAGGCACCAGGUAUGCAUGUGGUGCACAGGUGUAUGUGCAGGCAAACCCUCAUAUAUAUAAUAAAUAAGG
rnacentral:lncRNA from 1 species